GAUGAAGAACGUAGCGAAAUGCGAUACGUAAUGUGAAUUGCAGAAUUCAGUGAAUCAUCGAAUCUUUGAACGCACAUUGCGCCCGUCAGCACUCUGGCGGGCAUGCCUGUUCGAGCGUCAUUUCAACCAUCAAGCCCCAGGCUUGCGUUGGGGCCCUGCGGCUGCCGCAGCCUCCUAAAAGCAGUAGCGGGCUCGCUAUCACACCGAGUGCAGUAGAUUACUCUUCGCUCAGGGCGUGCAGCGGGUUCCGGCCGUGAAACCCCCUACUUUUAAAGGUUGACCUCGGAUCAGGUAGGAAUACCCGCUGAACUUAAGCAUAUCAAUAAGCGGAGGA
rnacentral:misc_RNA from 1 species